rnacentral:rRNA from 1 species
AACGAACGCUGGCGGCGUGCCUAACACAUGCAAGUCGAACGAGAACUUCGGGUCUAGUGGCGCACGGGUGGGUGACGCGGGGGAAGCUGCACUUAGGUUAGGUAUAAUUCACCGUGAGGGGUGCUAAUGACGGAUAAUGUCUUCGGACAAAAGAUUUAUGGCUUUUGAAUGGGGCCGGGUUGGAUUCGGUAGUUGGUAGUGUACAAGCAUGCCAAGGCGUCGAUCCUUACCUGGUCGGAGAGGAGGAUCAGCUACACUGGGACUGAGACACGGCCCAGACUGCGACGGGAGGGAGCAGAGGGUAAUAUAGGACAAGGGGCCAAAGCCUGAUCCAGCAGUGCCGCGGAAGUGAGGAAGCCCUUAGUGAUGUAAAGCUCCUUGACCCGAGAUGAUAAUGACAGUACCGGGAGAAGAAGCACCGGCUAACUCCGUG